GCAUCUUUUGUGCAGCUUUGCAUAUCCAAACAUGCAAGGAUCAAUUAAUUACAAUACUCUUUGUAAGCAUAUUAUUUAAUUAUAUUUCAUACAAAAUUCCCUCACCUCAUCAAAGUACUUUUUGUUUGAGAUUGUAGUAGAUGUAAAGGAGGAGGGGAAUUUAUAUGUACAUCAGGUUUUUCGAAAAGAAACAAUUCUGCAUAGGAUCACUCCUAGCUCCUCUGGAAGCUUCCUCAUUCCUCGCCUCCUCAUGGUGCAAUUAGAGAAUUGAUUUGUCCUUCAAGAUGGCUGACUUUGAUCGAUUUCUGGGUCACUGGCUGGAGGACCCGAGGAGCGCAAAAACGAGGAAGCAUCAAUAUGAUUAUUGAGAAGCACCCCAGGAAAUUCAGAUGAUGCAACUUCCUGUUGAACAUGUGACUUGAGGAAUCUUUAAAAUAUUUUACAGGUGUGAACCUGUUCAGAAAACUACUUCAAUUGGCAAAAUUGUUUUGCACGGUCUUACACAGUGACAUUUGUUGGUAAAUGAGACCUUUUAGCCAUUCUUGUUUGAAAUCUUGACCCAAAUCUGCAGCAAUUUUGAAAAAUGGCAAGCUCCACAGAAUAUUGUGGAGUUUGUUAGUUUCUACAAACACAAAAAUCUGGAGGAACCAAAUAACCACUCUUUACAACCAUGGUUCUUGAACAAAUUAAUUACACAAAAUGUGUCACCUGGCU
ensembl:lncRNA